AAAUAAGGCCGAACACGCAGGAAACCUUGAUCCAGCACUGGAUAACUUCCUUGGGCCGAGUGCCUGGACCUUACAACCUGAAUAUACAGAUCAGACUGAAGGAUGUUUGCAACUUUCUUGAAGUGGCAUUUAAAAUAAAAGCUGAAGAGAUAAGAAAGAAGGUACAAAACUUAUAUGUGCAUAUCACGGGAGAUCGUCUAAUCCUUGAGGAAUCUCGGAGUAUGAAUUAUCCUCCUGACUGUAAGUUUUUACUCACCUUUGUGUUGUCAGGUAUACAUGUGUUGGCUUGAGGUACCCAACUUGCAUAAAUGCUAUUUAAACUUAAAAGUCCUCUUCUUCUGAGACUAAAAUUUCUUACUCUGUCGCAUCAUUUUAAAGCUACAACCACUAAACUUGGGUCAGGCUUUCACACUGGACUGAUUUGGUGUGCUACAGCUUUUCUAAUUGAUAGAACUUAGACAUACUAUUCAUUCUAUAUUAUCUUCCUAAUAUUUCUAAUAUAUCUUAAAAAAUGUUGAAUUGUUAAAACUACUACUAAUUCAAACUUCAAGAUUUUAAAACUGCUUCGAACUUCAAGCCAGCAUAAAGUUUGUCUUAAAAUUUUAAUAGUUUCUUAAAAUAUUUAACUGAUUUACAUUUUUAAAGUGGUGUUUCAUUGGUAGAUGAAGAUACACCUCCUGAUGACCCACUUCAGCAGGACCUGUCUGAGCCAAUUAAAACUCUUCUGGAGAGAGAGUUCAUCAGAUGGGAAACUAUCAUCAUAGAUGGUGUUCGAGAAAGUUUGCAGGACAUUAAAUCAUCAAUUGAGCUCUCUCAGGUUGAGAAGAGGCAAAAGUCAGUGGAUGCUGUUGAGAGAUGGCUACAGAACUACAAUCAAUAUGUUGAACAUACUAUUGAUAAAAUACAAGAUCCAGAAUCAGGGAUCAGGUCAAAGAGAAAGAUGAUGUAUUAAUAUUUCUCACUCAUUUCACUAUUUACUAAAAUAGAGAGAGCACCGAGUGUAAAUAUGUUUUAAUACACACACCCUACCCUCUGUGUGUGGUUAUGCCAAGAGCUCAGGUAACAUACUGAGAAAUCAGAUAAAUAUUUAUCUUUCACAUGCAUUCAUUAACUCACGCAAUAACCGGUUUUCACAUGACUUUCAGUACUGAUAAAGUCACUUCAUUAAAUUAACCAUUUUAUACAGACAAACCAAGACCUCUUUUAUCAGAAGUGCUGUUAAUAAAGCUUGUUGCUGUUUGAGCUGUAAGUUUGUAGUAUCAUUUUUUUUCUCUUGAAUUAAAAGAAAAGAUUCAGCAGAUCGUUGUGCUGUUGACCGUGAUCAUAACCAGAAGUUCUGGUUUGUAUAAGGAAAAACACACAAUGAUGUUUUUUGUAUGUAACACUUUAACAAAGUCACCACUGAGAAACUUAAUAUUUUGUAAAGUUGCUUUGCAGCUGUUCGUACUGUGAAGGGCAUUAUACAAAUAAACUCAAAUUGAAUAUGAUUUUAAGCUGAUGAUUAUCUGCUGUCUGAAACUGUUAACUGUAGAAACAAAGUAAAAGGUCUAAGAAAGAACUUGGAUAUCAGAUUCUACAUCUACCUUCAAAUAGAAUUAUCUGAUCCAACACAUGGACAUCAAUAUAAUGAAUGAUCAAAAAUGUACAGUACAUGAAAUUUAACCGUUCAAAUGCACAUUUUAUUCAUGCAAAAUAUUUGUAAACCAGAGCCUUAGUGAUCAAAGAGCAGUUAUUGUCGAUUUAAUUUACUUUCAUUCUACUCCAGGUACUCUACCUGUUGUAAUGUUCCUCUGAAGAAGUAUUUUUGUUUAUGAUUUGUCUGUCCCCUUGAAUUGCAAAAAAUAAAG